CCUACGGGCGGCAGCAGUAGGGAAUUUUGCGCAAUGGGCGAAAGCCUGACGCAGCAACGCCGCGUGAUUGAUUAAGCCCUUCGGGGUGUAAAGAUCUGUCAGUGGGGACGAAACUUGACGGUACCCACAGAGGAAGCACCGGCUAACUCCGUGCCAGCAGCCGCGGUAAUACGGAGGGUGCAAGCGUUGUCCGGAAUCAUUGGGCGUAAAGAGUUCGUAGGUGGCAUAUUAAGUCUGGUGUUAAAUGCAGAGGCUCAACUUCUGUUCGGCACUGGAUACUGGUAAGCUUGAGUGCGGUAGAGGUAAAGGGAAUUCCUGGUGUAGCGGUGAAAUGCGUAGAUAUCAGGAGGAACAUCGGUGGCGUAAGCGCUUUACUGGGCCGUAAUUGACACUGAGGAACGAAAGCCGGGGUAGCAAAUGGGAUUAGAGACCCGGGUAGUC
rnacentral:rRNA from 1 species